UACGAGGGGGGCGAGCGUUGUUCGGAAUUAUUGGGCGUAAAGGGCGCGUAGGCGGUGCGGUAAGUCACCUGUGAAACCUCUGGGCUUAACUCAGAGCCUGCAGGCGAAACUGCCGUGCUGGAGUGUGGGAGAGGUGCGUGGAAUUCCCGGUGUAGCGGUGAAAUGCGUAGAUAUCAGGAGGAACACCGGUGGCGAAGGCGGCUACCUGGACAGAAACUGACGCUGAGGCGCGAAAGCUAGGGGAGCAAACAGG
rnacentral:rRNA from 1 species